rnacentral:rRNA from 1 species
AUUGAACGCUGGCGGCAGGCCUAACACAUGCAAGUCGAACGAGUGGCGGACGGGUGAGUAAUGUCUGGGAAACUGCCUGAUGGAGGGGGAUAACUACUGGAAACGGUAGCUAAUACCGCAUACCAUCAGAUGUGCCCAGAUGGGAUUAGCUAGUUGGUGGGGUAACGGCUCACCAGGGCGACGAUCCCUAGCUGGUCUGAGAGGAUGACGAGCCACACUGGAACGGAGACACGGGCCAGACUACUACGGGAGGCAGCAGGGGGGAAUAUUGCACAAUGGGCGCAAGCCUGAUGCAGACAUGCCGCGUGUAUGAAGAAGGCCGUAGGGGUGUAAAGUACUUUCAGCGGGGAGGCGUUACCCACAGAAGAAGCACCGUCUAACUCCGUGCCAGCAGCCGCGGUAAUAC